AGGGUGCAGGGCGGAUGCCUUGGCACUAGGAGCCGAUGAAGGACGUGAUAAGCUGCGAUAAGCUUCGGGGAGUUGCACGUAAACUUUGAUCCGAAGAUUUCCGAAUGAGGAAACUCACUUAGAGUAAUGUCUAAGUAUCAUUAAGUGAAUACAUAGCUUAAUGAGGGGAACUCAGGGAACUGAAACAUCUAAGUACCUGAAGGAAGAGAAAGAAAUUCGAUUCCGUAAGUAGCGGCGAGCGAACGCGGAUUAGCCCAAACCAAUAAAGUUUUCUUUAUUGGGGUUGCGGACAUAUCAUAACGAAGAGGUAUCGUAAUUGAAGAGGUUUGGAAAGACCCACCACAGAAGGUAAUAGUCCUGUAUGUUAAACGAGAAGACUUCAGAUAUGAUCCAGAGUACCACGGGACACGUGAAACCCUGUGGGAAGCAGGAGGGACCACCCUCCAAGGCUAAAUACUACCUAGUGACCGAUAGCGUAUAGUACCGUGAGGGAAAGGUGAAAAGAACCCCGGGAGGGGAGUGAAAUAGAACCUGAAACCCUGCACUUACAAGCUGUGGAAGCACAUUUCUUGUGUGACCGCGUACUUUUUGUAGAACGGGCCAACGAGUUACGUUAAGUAGCAAGGUUAAGCACUUAAGGUGCGGAGCCGUAGCGAAAGCGAGUUUUAACUGAGCGUUCAGUUACUUGACGUAGACCCGAAACCGGGCGACCUACCCAUGAGCAGGAUGAAGCGAAAGUAAAAUUUCGUGGAGGUCCGAACCCACGAGCGUUGAAAAGCUCGGGGAUGACUUGUGGGUAGCGGUGAAAUUCCAAUCGAGCCCGGAGAUAGCUGGUUCUCCCCGAAAUAGCUUUAGGGCUAGCCUCAAGGUGAGAGAUACGGAGGUAGAGCACUGAAUGUCCUAGGGGGUAUUGCACCUACCGAAGACUAUCAAACUCCGAAUGCCGUCAUCUUAUACUUGGGAGUCAGACUGUGGGUGAUAAGAUUCAUAGUCGAAAGGGCAACAGCCCAGAUCGUCAGCUAAGGUCCCUAAAUGUAAGUUAAGUGGUAAAGGAUGUGGGAUUGCACAGACAACCAGGAUGUUGGCUUAGAAGCAGCCACUCAUUCAAAGAGUGCGUAAUAGCUCACUGGUCGAGUGAUCCUGCGCCGAAGAUUUCCGGGGCUAAAACUUACUACCGAAGCUACGGCAUCAUUAUGAUGGGUAGGGGAGCUUCCCAUACGGGUUGAAGCAUGACCGUAAGGACAUGUGGACAGUAUGGGAGUGAGAAUGUUGGCAUGAGUAGCGAGAUGUGGGUGAGAAUCCCACAGGCCGUAAACCCAAGGUUUCCAGGGGAAGGUUCGUCCGCCCUGGGUUAGUCGGGACCUAAGCUGAGGCCGAAAGGCGUAGGUGAUGGACAACAGGUUGAUAUUCCUGUACUACCGAUAACCGUUUGAGAGAAGGGAUGACACAGUAGGAUAAGCUAAGCACACUGUUGGUUAUGUGUGCCCAAGCAUUGAGGCAGUCAAAGCAGGCAAAUCCGCUUUGAUAAUGCUGGGAUGUGAUGGGGAGCGAAAUUUAGUAGCGAAGUAGCUGAUUUCACACUGUCAAGAAAAGUCUCUAUCGAGGUUAAAGGUACCCGUACCGCAAACCGACACAGGUGGGUGAGGAGAGUAUCCUAAGGCCAGCGAGAGAACUGUUGUUAAGGAACUCGGCAAAAUGACCCCGUAACUUAGGGAUAAGGGGUGCCACCAUCCGGUGGCCGCAGAGAAUAGGCCCAAGCGACUGUUUACCAAAAACAUAGGUUUCUGCUAAGUCGCAAGACGAUGUAUAGGAGCUGACGCCUGCCCGGUGCUGGAAGGUUAAGGGGAUCUGUUAGAGCAAUCGAAGCAGUGAACUUAAGCCCCAGUAAACGGCGGCCGUAACUAUAACGGUCCUAAGGUAGCGAAAUUCCUUGUCGGGUAAGUUCCGACCCGCACGAAAGGCGUAACGAUUUGGGCACUGUCUCAACAACAGACUCGGUGAAAUUGUAAUUCCGGUGAAGAUGCCGGAUACCUGCGACAGGACGGAAAGACCCCAUGGAGCUUUACUGUAGCUUGACAUUGGGUCUUGGUACUACAUGUACAGGAUAGGUGGGAGGCUUUGAAACCAGGACGCCAGUUUUGGCGGAGCCAUCCUUGGGAUACCACCCUUGUAGUACUGGGACUCUAACCAUAGGCCAUGAAUCUGGUCUUGGGACACUGUCAGGUGGGCAGUUUGACUGGGGCGGUCGCCUCCCAAAAGGUAACGGAGGCGCUCAAAGGUUCUCUCAGUACGGUCGGAAAUCGUACGUAGAGUGUAAAGGCAAAAGAGAGCUUGAUUGCAAGACAUACAGGUCGAGCAAGGAUGAAAAUCGGACUUAGUGAUCCGGUGGUUCUGCGUGGAAGGGCCAUCGCUCAACGGAUAAAAGCUACCCUGGGGAUAACAGGCUUAUCUCCCCCAAGAGUCCACAUCGACGGGGAGGUUUGGCACCUCGAUGUCGGCUCAUCACAUCCUGGGGCUGUAGUAGGUCCCAAGGGUUGGGCUGUUCGCCCAUUAAAGUGGUACGCGAGCUGGGUUCAGAACGUCGUGAGACAGUUCGGUCCCUAUCCGUCGCAGGCGUAGGAAAUUUGAGAAGACCUGUCCUUAGUACGAGAGGACCGGGAUGGACGUACCUCUGGUGUACCAGUUGUUCUGCCAAGGGCAUGGCUGGGUAGCUAUGUACGGAAUGGAUAAGCGCUGAAAGCAUCUAAGCGCGAAGCCAACUUCAAGAUAAGAUUUCCCACCGCAAGGGUAAGACCCCAGAAAGACUAUCUGGUUGA
rnacentral:rRNA from 1 species